GACAGAGGGUGCAAACGUUGUUCGGAAUUACUGGGCGUAAAGCGUGUGUAGGCGGUCCACUAAGUCGGGUGUGAAAGCCCUCGGCUUAACUGAGGAAGUGCACCCGAAACUGAGUAGCUAGAGUACUAAAGAGGGUCGCGGAAUUCCCGGUGUAGAGGUGAAAUUCGUAGAUAUCGGGAGGAACACCGGUGGCGAAGGCGGCGACCUGGGUAGAUACUGACGCUGAGGCGCGAAAGCGUGGGGAGCAAACAGG
rnacentral:rRNA from 1 species